CUGCUCCAGCGGCGCCCAUGGCUGCCUUCCAGCUGGGCCUGGAUGCUGUGCUGUCGUGGACCCCGCCCUGCACGUUCAUGUCUGCAUCUGGAGGCCCCGCGCCUGCUGGCUGUCGGCCUACUACAGCAAGGCAGACUUUCUCAGCCCAGCGAAGGCAUUGGCUCUGGAAACAAGAAGUUAGGGAGGUCUCAAGAAGCCAGUGGGCACAAAUAUCAGUACCCACUUUCCUGAGAGAAAACUGAAGCACACAAGACGAACUUGCACAGGAUUUCCCAGCUAGAAACUGCAGAGGCAGGAGAAACGCGAAGUGCACUCGGCAGUCAUCUGGGCUGGCGCCCUCUAGAGGAAAAAACUACCAGUUCCCACUGAGAGGCCUUGAGAAGGAGAGAGUGCAUGGAAAAAUGUGCCAGAAGAAACUGUAAACAGAGGAAGGCUCGUCGGUGCCUGCGCAUCUCCUCGGGCCUCCUUUUGCUGGGACUGGCCCGCCGCUCCCUGCCCUGAGCUCCUGCAGGCUGACCACGGGACACCGGCCCGCAGCCGCCCCGCGAGGCUCCUGCCUGGGAAAGCAGCUCCAGUUACACAUUAGUCACAAAAAUAACAAGGAUCAAAGGGAGCAAAAGGCAUGGAACGGCUUCAUUUUCCCAAUUUAAUUGCAGGACUGGACGAUCCAUUUAAAUCUGUAAGGAGCCUGAUCCUAACAUGUUUUAGAAGAGUUGAAUAAAGUA